CACACCUUGGAACUGAUCCUUUAUGACUGCAUGUCAAUGGGAACAUUUGAGCUGUCGAUGAGGCGCCCCUGUGACACGGCCUUGUCUCUAGCUGAGUCAUGACGAAGGCCACACAGCCCGACGGCUCUAUUUACAACCUUCCGGAGAGUGUUGCUGAGUUUUCUAUUUCGAGCUGAGAUGGAUGUGUCUUUGCAUUCUGGGGCUUUUUCUGAGCUGUCUAAUCACCGGUGGCUUUGGUGCGCGAGGCAGGUCAGUCAAGGAGAGCCAGCAGAGCUGAGACAUCUGACUCUGUCAGCCAGGGUGCCCAUGUAACUCCUCACGGAUCCUCGUGCUUCUUCAACAGCAACAACCAGGAGCAUUCAGGAGCAGCAGUGGAAGGAAAAGCAGCCACCUUCUUCCUUUGAGCUGAACCACCGUUCCCCCCGCCCCCCACUCUGGGCUCUGGCAUUUAUUCCUCCUGAGUUCCCAGAAUUAAACCAUCUGCAGCUGACAAAGAUCAUGCCCCUCUCAGAGCCCACACGAGGACCAUCUGCCAGCAUGUAUGUAAAAAACUGUGUGGGUACUGGCAUACGAACAGAAUGGUGGAUCAAUCGAAUCGAACAGAAGACCCAGAAAUAAACCCACACACCUAUGGAUACUUGAUUUUUUACAAAGAAGCCAAAACCAUACAAUGGAAAAAAGAAAGCAUCUUCAACAAAUGCUAGUCUAACUGGAUGUCUACAUGCAGAAAAAUGCAAAUAGAUCCAUAUUAUCACCUGCACAAAACUAAAGUCCAAGUGGGUCAAAGACCUCAACAUAAAAUCUGACACAUUAAAUUGGUUAGAAUAAAAAGUGGGAAAGAACCUAGAACUCAUUGGCACAGGAGAUAACUUCCUGAACAGAACACCAACAGCACAGGCUCUAAGAUCAACAAUCAAUAAGUGACACCUCAUGAAACUGAAAAGCUUCUGUAAGGCAAAGGACACUGUCAUCAGAACAAAACAACAGCCUACAGACUGGAAAAGGAUCUUCACCAACCCUAUAUCUGACAGAGGACUAAUAUCCAAAAUGUAUGUAUGAACAUGUGUGAAUGCAAUGGCUGCAGAGGCCAAAAGAUGAUGUUGGACUUCCUAGAACUGGAGUUACAGGCAGUUGUGAGCAACCACAUGAGUGCCGGGAAACAAGCCUGUGAACAGCCUGAGCUACUGACCACUGAACCUGGAUCACCUUUUAGAAUCAGCAUAAAGGAAGAUCAAAUCGGUGAAAAUGAGCUAGGUUUUAUGAUAUUCCAAUAUUGGAAAUAACUGAAUAGCCAUACCAAAAAAAAAAAAAAAAAAACCCACAAAGUUAGAUCUGUUAGACUCACAAUUUGUCUCGGUACUUCUAACGUAGACAAGCGAUAAAUGAGAUACAAACCAUACAGCUACUUAAAGAAAGCACUUCAGUAAUGUUCCUUUAUUCAGUACUGAAUGAAAGUUCCCCUCAACUUGAUAUCCAGACACUGAAAAGGCUGACUAUAUGAAUAAGAACGUGUGUGUGUGUGUGUGUGUGUGUGUGUGUGUGUGUGUGUGUGUGUUCAGGCCGUCAUAUUUGUGCAGCAGCUACUUUACCAACUGAACCAUCUCCCCAGACUCUUUAUGAAAAAGAAUUUCAAUGAAAAAAAGAGACUCACGAAAGCUAUAACAAGGGAAAAAUUGGCAACCGUCUGCUGAUGACAUAAACCCAAAUUCAUCAAUUAGUUGCCAAGGAAGAACACCAGAUGGAGAUGGAGCUCAAUGGUAGAGCAGUGCCUAACAGCCAGGAGGUCCUGGAUGUCGGCACGUACCCACCAUCCCAGCACUGGUGAGGCUGGGGACAGAUCUGUAAGAUACAGCUCGCAUUGCCAGGUAUACGGUGGCCCCAUAGAAGGACUUGCUUCCACAUUGGUUCUGCUUCAGUCGGUGAAGAGUGUAACCAGGAAGACUCCACAGUGCCCAGCUCACCUCACCAGAGAGUUGGUCCUCUAGAAGUCAAAUGAGGGCCAUAAAAUGGACGCCUGCUACUGUUUCUUCUUCAUUGUGUCCUGGUUUCCCAGCAGCUGUCAACAUCCUCUGAAAACUUGAGCAGCAGGGCCGAGCACGCAUUGCCCAGGUGUAUGCCAAGCUCAAAGCAUGAGAGGGCACAGGAAGAGGGCAUAGCCGGAAUCCACUGCUGCCCAAGAGCCAGAGGCAUUUAUGUGACUGGCCUGGGGAGCUAGCUCAUGGCCUUCUCUAAAUAAACACUUCAGACCUUG